AAACCUUGGCCAGAUCAUGUAGCUUUAUGAACCCUGCAUGCUCCCAAAAGGUAAUUUACUUGCACUGAAUUUAUUGGAGGUUUUUACUGCUAAAGUGGAGAAGAUGGAAGGAGGAAUAAAAAAAUUUGGAGCAUGGUAUACUUCAUGGAUCAGGGAUCAAGCCUGGAAGUGAUUCUCAGACAGGCUUAGAACCUGGAGAGAGAGGAAGUAAGAGAUAAGAAAGAGGUAUAAAAGGAGAGA
rnacentral:lncRNA from 1 species